CUUCCACCAUUAAUUAUAAGGUACUCAUCAUGACAUUUGCCAUCCUUCGAGACAGAGAGUAUCUGCCAGAGGACAUAGAUUUCUUCAUUUAUCUUUCUUGUCUUUUCAUAACAGAGCAUCAAGCUGAAAAGCAACUCUCCAGCUUUACUGACUUGACUUAAAUGAUAUUGGAGGCCGUGUUUUAAGCCAAAUUGCCCUCUGGAGUCUCUACACAGAAAUCUCAUUACUGUGGAAUCUGUGGGGUUUCACUUCCUGGGUACUACUUCAUCAUCUUUCAGGAAGAUUUUGAACAACUAGAAAAAAUUCAAAUCCUGCAGAAGUCGUCACACAAGAAUAUGCUUGAACUCCCUGUGAUUGUGUGUUAAAGGAAGAGGAUAGUCCUUGUGAGGGUGGAGUGGUUGCCUAGGGCAGUUGGGAAUCUGUCCAGAGCUUUGUGGGAAUUCCUUGCUUUUGCAAUUUUUUCCCCCUAAGCUUGGAAGAUAGCAUAAAGGAAUCAGCCUGUUGAACAGAGCAGGCAGUUGUCUGCUUAUAUCAGAUUUAUACCAUUUCUUGAGACUGAGUUGCACUCGGACCUGAAUGCAACUAAGCUCCCAUAUUCCUUCCUCGAACUAAGGACUCUACAGGGGCUGUUGUGAACACCUGGGCUCAAGACACCCACCAAAGCUGAACAGAGACUCGGCCUCAUCACACACCUGCUUCCAGGCAGAAUGGAGGACCCAAGGGGACCCAUUCCCCCCCUCAAAAAAUGUGGACGUGAAGAGACUCCUGCUUGGGUGGGAAAGCGAAAGUGUUCUUUGCGACCCCGGGGACUGCAGCCCGCCAGGCUCCUCUGUCCAUGGGAUGCUCUCGGUGAGAAUAGUAGAGUGGUAGCCAUUCCCUUCUCGGGGGAUCUUCCUGACUCAGGAUUGAACCCCGGUCCCCUGCACUGCAGGCAGAUUCUUUACCGUCUGAGCCACCAGGGAAGCAUGCAUAGGAGGUUCAGAGCAAGGAAGAGGAACUGUCUGCAGUGGUGUGAGGCCACUUGCCAACCAGGAGAGCAGCAAACUCAUCUCUGUGGUGUGACUUAUCGAAGACCAGCUCCCUCCAUCUUUACCCAGGGCUCGGGUGGAUUCUUGACCAGCUGAGCCAUAGGUGCCAGCAUCGCCCUGCAUCUUCUGACGUUAGUUUCUGCUCAGCCCUUAGGCUCCAGGUAAGUGUUCUGUUCUGUGCUGUUCUUUCUGCAGAUUACCCUGUGCGUAGCUGGGGAGUCACCUAGACUCUCAGGGCAUAUGCUUGAAGUUGUCUGAGGUCACCUUCCUGGAAUAUCCCCCCUCGCCAGUGCCCUGCCUGCUGAGACCACCCUUCUUGGCAGCCGCAAGCACUGAUGCUUCCUCUGGCCAGUGAAACUCUGCCUCCCUCUCAGGAAGCUGCGGUGAAUAUGGGUUCAGUGUUGCGCUCCGUCUCUCUCCAGCGUUGUGGCUCGGUGUUGGGCUGGGCCUGGGUCCUGAAAGAGCGGUUUUACCUGUUUCAUCCAAUCAGAGGCUGGCUUCCGGAUCAUGGCCCACACCCCGCGUUCUCCUGCUGCCUUCCUCCCUGCAGAUCAGGUGAAGUGGCACGUCCAUUUUCCUUUCUUCUCCCCGAAUGCAGAAGGGGUGCCCUGAGCAUCUGGGUUGCACUCUGUGUCACUCCCACUGUGCACCUGUGCGCCUGGAGGUCUGUCACGGUACAUACAGCUCUCUAGGUGCCCUUCCGGACUAUGAGCUACCUGAGGGUAGCGGUCGGGCCAAACUGCUCUUUUACUGAUGUAUUUUUUAUUGAAGUAUAGUUGAUAUACAAUGUUGUGCUGAUUUCUGCUAUACAACGAAGUGAUUCAGUUAUACACUUGUGUAUAUAUAUACAUGCAUGCAUGCUUAGUCGUGUCCAGCUCUUUUCAACCUGACCGACUCUAGCCUGCCAAGCUCCUCUGUCCAUGGAAUUUUCCAGGCAAUGAUACUGGAGUUGUUGCCAUUUCCUUCUCUGGAAGAUCUUCCCAACUCAGGGAGCAAACCCUCAUCUCUUGUGUGUCCUGCAUUGGCAGGUGAAUUCUUUACCACUGAGCCACCUGGGAAUAUAUAUGCCUUAUUAAAAAUAUUCUUUUUCAUUUUG
ensembl:lncRNA